UAAAAAGAUUUCAAGGAGCUCUUUUUCUGAGAGCAAAAUUCUGACAAGGUUAAGACGCUAAGGGGAGUGAAUGCUGACAAAUGCAAAAGAAUAGAAAUGAGAAGACUUAGAACACCAGGGGCACAUUUUACUUCACAUCUUUGCCUGAAGCUGGCCCAGGAGAGUAACUUGGAGAGGACAGUGACACAGACUCCAACUGUUGGUGGGGAGCACCUCAUCUUUAUCCCCAGGAGAAUGUUUUAGGAAGUGAACAUCCAAACAGAGCGCAGACUGCAAAACACAGAGGGCUACGAGAGAAUGAAAAUGAAGUGGACCAAAGGAGACCAGAGCCACCAAGGGAAUUCUCCAAACUGAGCCCUGGGUGGUCUGUUACUGCUACAGCUUCCAAGCAAUCAUCUGCAAUAUUGAGUUCUCUUAAAACUGUGAUGCUCGGGACUGAACUGCUUCCCACUUUAUUUGUCUCCAUUAGGGGAAAAAAAAAAAAAAAGAGAGCUUAAUGACUGAAAAUAUCAAAUGUGUAUUGUUGAAGCUGCUGCCAUACAAUAUGUGAAAUGGGGAAUGGUGAUUAUUACUUUGAUGUUUAAAUAAGAUAAAUGUUUGAUAUUAAGUUGAAGAAAGACUAAGGC